rnacentral:rRNA from 1 species
GACGAACGCUGGCGGCGUGCUUAACACAUGCAAGUCGAACGAUGAACUAGGAGCUUGCUCUGGGGGAUUAGUGGCGAACGGGUGAGUAACACGUGAGUAACCUGCCCUGGACUCUGGGAUAACUUCGAGAAAUCGGAGCUAAUACCGGAUAGGACCUUGCACCGCAUGGUGUGGGGUGGAAAGUUUUUCGGUUUGGGAUGGACUCGCGGCCUAUCAGCUUGUUGGUGAGGUAAUGGCUCACCAAGGCGUCGACGGGUAGCCGGCCUGAGAGGGUGACCGGCCACACUGGGACUGAGACACGGCCCAGACUCCUACGGGAGGCAGCAGUGGGGAAUAUUGCACAAUGGGCGCAAGCCUGAUGCAGCAACGCCGCAUGCGGGAUGACGGCCUUCGGGUUGUAAACCGCUUUUAGUAGGGAAGAAGCCUUCGGGUGACGGUACCUGCAGAAAAAGGACCGGCUAACUACGUGCCAGCCGCCGCCGUAAGAC